rnacentral:lncRNA from 1 species
GUAACGGAGACUAAGUAAAAACAGGAAAGGGGUGUGAUCUAAUAAACAAAUAAGAUGAAAGCCUUACUAGAUAUCCUGAGAGAUGGUGGACGGACCAGGUUCACAGGGAACCCUACUGUGAACGUUGUCUCAUACCGGACGGGGUAUGGAGACUUGGUAAUUUGGCGCUCAUAUCGGACGAGGUAUGGGACGGCCCAUUUCACCCUCAUGUCAGACAGCGU